rnacentral:rRNA from 1 species
UACGGAGGGAGCAAGCGUUACUCGGAAUCACUGGGCGUAAAGGGUGCGUAGGCGGGUCUUUAAGUCAGGGGUGAAAUCCUGGAGCUCAACUCCAGAACUGCCUUUGAUACUGAGGAUCUUGAGUUCGGGAGAGGUGAGUGGAACUGCGAGUGUAGAGGUGAAAUUCGUAGAUAUUCGCAAGAACACCAGUGGCGAAGGCGGCUCACUGGCCCGGUACUGACGCUGAGGUGCGAAAGCGUGGGGAGCAAACAGG